rnacentral:rRNA from 1 species
GCUGGCGGCAGGCCUAACACAUGCAAGUCGAGCGCCCCGCAAGGGGAGCGGCAGACGGGAGAGUAACACGUGGGAACGUGCCCUUUGGUUCGGAACAACACAGGGAAACUUGUGCUGAUACCGGAUAAGUCCGUAAGGAGAAAGAUUUAUCGCCAAAGGAUCGGCCCGCGUCUGAUUAGCUUGUUGGUGAGGUAACGGCUCACCAAGGCGACGAUCAGUAGCUGGUCUGAGAGGAUGAUCAGCCUCACUGGGACUGAGACACGGCCCAGACUCCUACGGGAGGCAGCAGUGGGGAAUAUUGGACAAUGGGCGCAAGCCUGAUCCAGCCAUGCCGCGUGGGUGAUGAAGGCCCUAGGGUUGUAAAGCCCUUUCGGCGGGGAAGAUAAUGACGGCACCCGCAGAAGAAGCCCCGGCUAACUUCGUGCCAGCAGCCGCGGUAAUACGAAGGGGGCUAGCGUUGCUCGGAAUCACUGGGCGUAAAGCGCACGUAGGCGGCUUUUUAAG